ACAGAACCCUAAAUUUGGUUUCUCAAUUUCUCCAAACAGCCGUCGCCAUUCUCUGUCGGAAGAAAGAUUCAAACUUCAAAACCCCAAAAGAGUUGAACCGAGAACACAAAGGAUGGGUUUUUGAAUGCUGACUCAUUGUUCUUCGGAUCAAGACUAGCCUUUUUGAGGAUGAGGAUUGUGGCAAAACACUGAGAAAGGAAGCAGACAACUCGGCAUUACCUGGAUCUUGUGAAUGCCCUCCUCCAUUUCUCUCUUCUCAACGGCAAAAGCUGAGGAACUUUUUGGAGAAGCGGUGCAAGAUAUGCAGAUGGUCAAGAAAAUGCAACCUGAUGAAAGCCAAAAUCUUGAUUCCAUAACUCAAGCUAAACAUAAAGACCAGCAGAGUAGGCAUAAUAGUGUUAUGGCAAAUAAUUUUUGAAAGAAUUUGCUGUGAUAUCAAUAUAAACCUCUUUCUGAGAUUAAACAUCCUACUCAAUGGACACCAAUGUACAAGAAGAUAUUGUUAUGUUGAAUGUGUAAAUGUGUAAAACAACUACUGGCACCAAAGAGGAAAAGUACAAAAAAGUUUAGGUGGUGCCUAAUCUGUAAUCCUGUUA